rnacentral:rRNA from 1 species
AUUGGAUGAGCCCGCGGCCUAUCAGCUUGUUGGUGGGGUAAUGGCCCACCAAGGCGACGACGGGUAGCUGGUCUGAGAGGACGACCAGCCACACUGGGACUGAGACACGGCCCAGACUCCUAUGGGAGGCAGCAGUGGGGAAUAUUGCGCUAAUGCGCGAAAGCGUGACGCAGCGACGCCGCGUGGGGGAUGAAGGCCCUCGGGUUGUAAACCCCUUUCGGCAGGGACGAAGCGAGAGUGACGGUACCUGCAGAAGAAGUCCCGGCUAACUACGUGCCAGGGCCCGGAUGAAU